rnacentral:rRNA from 1 species
UGGGGAAUUUUGGACAAUGGGCGCAAGCCUGAUCCAGCCAUGCCGCGUGAGUGAUGAAGGCCCUAGGGUUGUAAAGCCCUUUCACCGGUGAAGAUAAUGACGGUAACCGGAGAAGAAGCCCUGGCUAACUUCGUGCCAGCAGCCGCGGUAAUACGAAGGGGGCUAGCGUUGUUCGGAUUUACUGGGCGUAAAGCGCACGUAGGCGGACUUUUAAGUCAGGGGUAAAAUCCCGGGGCUCAACCCCGGAACUGCCUUGGAUACUGGAAGUCUUGGGUAUGGUCAGGGUGGUUGGAAUUCCGAGUGUAGAGGUGAAAUUCGUAGAUAUUCGGAGGAACACCAGUGGCGAAGGCGGCUCACUGGAACAUUACUGACGCUGAGGUGCGAAAGCGUGGGGAGCAAACAGG